CUGGUGCACGUGUCAACCAGGGCUGGACUGGGACAAAAAAUCGGCCCGGGCAUUUUGACUGGAGCCCGGCCCACCAGGAUAGAGAUUGAAAAUGUGACAUCAUUCGGGGUAAAACCGCAAAGGAUUCUGGGAACUUGAGGCAAGAGGUACUAGCGCACGCAGGCUUUCAAUUGAACUCAGUUACACAGCGAUAAAAAGAAACACAAAAAAUGGCAAGAAGCUGUUGUAUUAUUAACUGCAAUAGCCGGUCGCAUGACAGCCACGGGAAGCCGACGGGUAAAGAGAUCGUUUUUUUUUUUUUAUCGGAUUAUGUCCUUGAAGAGAAAUUUUUUAAGCCAUGUUUCCGAAGUAAGAGCCCACGGAUGGUCUGGAUAUACCAAAUAUAACGUCUCAGAACACUCCAGCUCACAUGUUAGUCUGCUCCAAGCAUUUCCACAAAGACUUUAAACCAGAGCCAGACGUCGUCUACUCUUCACUGAAGUAGUCCACCAGUCCAACCACUGACAUCCAGCUGCUGGUCUCUAACUGGUCCCCCAGCACCUCAGAUCAACGUGUUCAAAAGAUUUUUUUUUUUUCAUGUUUUAUGUAUUUUUAAUCUAUAUUUAACUUUUUUCAACAUAAACAGUCGGAAAAUACAUAUUAAAAUGUUUUCAUAUUUUCAAUAAUUUACAAUUUUAUUUUUUGUUUGUUUGUUCUUGUUCACACAGCACAGAUGUGGUUUCUAUGCAGGACUAAAAUAGUUUUGUUCUCGUUUGUUUUUUCUGUGGUUCUGUGGGUUUCACUAAAGUGUCAGAUGGAAAAUUUAUCUCUUCCAAUUUGAUUGUGGCUAACCAAUGUAUGCUUCUGUUUAACACAGAAAAAAAUCCAACAGAAUAAACAUUAACCUACAACACCAGCAGCUUUUUAGUGAGUACUGAAGCUGAACAGAAAAGCUUUAGUACUGACUGUAUGAAGAGUUGUAAUUUCUUUAUUUCCUUAAUGAGCUGGAAACCAACCAAAAGAUGUAGGGAUGGAAAAUUGUUUCAUUUUCAUUAAUUAAUUGUUUAAUAAGAAAAUUCUCUACUAGCAACUUAAAAAUGUGAAUAUUUACCUGUUUUGUUGUUUUUUUUUUCUUUUUUAAUGAUCUGAAACUUCUACAUUUUUUGUCUGCUACUCAAUCAAAAUAAAGUGAUUCAUAUUCAUUAUAUUAUAUUAUCUUGUACUGUAUUAAAUGAUAUAAGCACGGGGGAGAGUAACCCGGUUAUAUUAGUAGAUAGUAAUUGUUUGAUCGUGUAUUUAUUAAACAGCUGUUUUAUUUGCUGCUCCUUCUUCAGGGAAACAUUCAUUGUGUCUCCCUCAGUAGUUUAAGAUCAGAAUAGAAAGCUGAAUUUUUUUAGUGUCUGAUAAACUACAGAUGUGAACAUGUGACUCAGGCUACGUACACGGGUAUUUUUGAAAACGGACAUUUUCCGUUUUCAUUUUAAAAAAUAAUCCCGUCCACACGUAAACGCAGAAAUGAAGGAAAACGCUGCUAGGAACAUGCCAAAGCAGCAGGUGGCGCUAUAUUCCUAACCGUGUAGAAAUGUUGGCCAAUCAGAAGUCUAGAAGCCUGGGUGGGAAAUAGUAAACAAAGAUGGGGAGUAGAAGCAGAACGAGUCGUAUGUGUGGAGGGACAGUAACUGUGUGUGUAUAUGUAAGCAUUUAAACACUGCAGAGCGUACAAUUAACAGUAACAGUAUUGUAGAAAUUCAUUUCACCGAAACAAUAACGUGGCGCACAGUGUGACGUCAAAAAAGGCGCACACCUUUGACGCUGCGUUUUCUCCGUUUUUCUCGUCCACACGUAAACGCAAAAACGGAGUUUUCGAAAAUAUCCACCCUGGCAGGCGUUUUUAGAAAUCUCCCUUUUCAGUGACCGAAAACGCCGUUUACGUGUGGACGAAAGGUGCAAACACAUAGAAAAAUCUGCGUUUUCAAAAAUACCCGGGUACGUGUGGACGUAGCCUCACACUGGACUUCCUUCUGGAUCACAUCUCCUGAAUAAGCUCAGAGACAAUCUUGCAUUAAACCUCUCAGUCAAGCUUGAUGGACGAGUCUUGUUUAUAGUCUGUGUCUGUCUACAAUCUACUGGUGAAACUGGCUGUUACAUGAGAGUUGCUGCUUUUGUUAAGAUUUAACCUCUUAACGUCCACCAGUUUGGAUUAGUAGGUUAUAUUUUACUCACAUGCCAAGCAGCAGUUUCAGAAAUGCACUAAUAUAAAAACUGAAUUGGCCCGUCACAACUGGAAAAGUCAGUUUUCCUGUGAUGGGAAAACAUCAAGAUUAAUUUCAUUUCAUUAUCACCAGUGAUCAUUUGAAUUCUUAACUGAUUCAAGUAAUAAUAAUUUAAUUGUAUUUUUUUGGUUUUCAAGAUAUUGCUGUUGUUGUGUCAAUGUAUUGUGUUGUUGUUUGGGUUAUUGAAAGUCCCCAAGUGUGGGACUCCACAGUGCUGCCAGAGGAAGGAAACUACUAUUUUAUUAGGAAGAGUAUAACAUCGGCCUCCUGUUUCUUUUAAUAAACUAGUGAAAGCAUCAUCUGCUUGUAUUCACGUCGUAUUUAAACAAAACCACCUCCCUGUCCUGAUCUGAUAUAUAUCCUGUCCCUGCACAGUUGUGAGUGUAAUUUUCCCGUUUCAC
ensembl:lncRNA